UAUUGAUUGGCUGAAUCCUAAAAAUAAUAGUUCUUGCUCGUUGUAUAAGACUUUGCAGCUAACGCAAUUAAUCUCCUCCCCAAUUCACAUAAACAUUAAAAGCCAUAACCAUACCCUGUUCGAUUGGAUUCUCUCCACUUCUCCUGAUAGAAUCCAGUUUCAGUGAUUACUGUUUAGUGUACUGCGUGCGCAAAAUAAAGGCUAUUAAAUCAUCUCCCAAGGUUAAAAUAACUAGGUCCUUCAAACAUUUUAAUCUUGAAUCCUUUCUAAAUGACAUCAAGAACCUCCCAUGGCACAGAUUAAAC